rnacentral:sRNA from 1 species
GCGUUCCUUAGGCUAGGCUACUGGCCACUCUGUAGGAUUGAUUCAUGAUACCGAGCUAUAAGGUUCAUAUAUUUUCAGCUGGAUAGUGUUUUCCGUGUCUAUGGACAUUCUUAAGAGUUAAAAGAGUUUACUUGGCUUGGCUUCUCGUAGCAUCCGACCCAAGAGUCCUCAAAGGUGAGAUACCCCUAGUUAGAUACUCCACCUGCUGCAGGCCCAUUGCCAGCACAGACAGUGGAAGGAAGAAACAGUGCACGAACCACUGUGGUGAUAUCACGCCUGGCCCGGUGGUCCUGGGUGCUAUAAGAAAGCAGGCUGAGCAAGCCGUAGGAAGCAAGCCGGUAAGCAGCACCCCUCUGUGGCCUCCACAUCAGCUCUUUCCUUCUGAUCUCUGCUUUGAGUUCUUUUCUGACUUCCCUCAGUGAUAGGCUAUUUAUUACCUAUAAGUGUAAGCCAAAUAAACCCUUUCCUACCCAAGUUGUUCUGGCCAUGGUGUUUUAUCACAACAGUAGAAAGCAAACUAAAACAAUGGUCUUGCUCGGCACAGGAUUAUGUGCUACUACACUGAUCUGUCAGUCGAGGCCUUCCUACUGGUGUGAUAGCAAUAUAACUGUUGUGGUUUAACUCAGUACUUUCUGAUUGGACUUGAGGCCUGCCUCACAGGAAGAAAGUCAUACUUGAUACUGUAAACCUGGUCAAAAGCCAGUGGCUUGGGAGGUCACAGGCCCUAGGGGAAUCUAAAUACUAUUGUUCUGCUAAAUGUUCAUGUCGUCAAGCUGCAGUCUAAAUAUUUAUGUUUGUACAGAUUAGUGCUGCUCCCAAGAUUGGACAGAGAACAUUCUGUUUGCAGCGGGAAGCAAUUAAUGCAGAGAUCCGGAAUUUUUAGAGCGCCCCGUGACCCUUGUGAUGGCAGACACAAGUCACACAUUCAUGCAAACCUGUAGAAUGGAUGGCAACAAGAGUGAAGCAUGGAUUCUAGAUGGUAGUGACAUACCAAUGAUGGGUCAUCAGCUGAACUCCGUGGUCAAAGGCAGAGUAGAAACCCUGGAUGGAGAUAAUUAUUUUCUACAACAUCUGUGUGUAUAUGCAUAGUUCUGCCUGCAUGUAUGCCUACAGCCAGAAGAGGAC